GGGGGGUGGGGGGUGGACUGGUGUCGGGGUACCCUCGGGGUCCACUGUCGCGUUCCCCGGUCAUACUAUACGUGCUACGGCAUCUUGCUUAAUAUCGUUUUAUCCUCUAACAUUUCGUUAAGUUGCCGUUUCUUUUUCACUGACGAAAGAAAACCAUUGACCUUUUUGAGGUUAGGCCCAAGAAAAACAAAAAUUCAACAAAAACAAAAAAAGUGGGGAUACCAAGAACACCAGAAAGUUACCAUCUGCUGUGUUUUUAAGCGCGAGUUUUAAACCUUGCCCCGGCAAUGUUCAUCCGUCUUCGGUGGCACAAUACACGGCAUAUUUUUUCCAAAACGA